rnacentral:rRNA from 1 species
GACGAACGCUGGCGGCGUGCCUAAUACAUGCAAGUAGAACGCUGAAGAGAGGAGCUUGCUCUUCUUGGAUGAGUUGCGAACGGGUGAGUAACGCGUAGGUAACCUGCCUUGUAGCGGGGGAUAACUAUUGGAAACGAUAGCUAAUACCGCAUAACAAUGGAUGACACAUGUCAUUUAUUUGAAAGGGGCAAUUGCUCCACUACAAGAUGGACCUGCGUUGUAUUAGCUAGUAGGUGAGGUAACGGCUCACCUAGGCGACGAUACAUAGCCGACCUGAGAGGGUGAUCGGCCACACUGGGACUGAGACACGGCCCAGACUCCUACGGGAGGCAGCAGUAGGGAAUCUUCGGCAAUGGGGGCAACCCUGACCGAGCAACGCCGCGUGAGUGAAGAAGGUUUUCGGAUCGUAAAGCUCUGUUGUAAGUCAAGAACGAGUGUGAGAGUGGAAAGUUCACACUGUGACGGAGCUACCAGAAAGGACGCAUC